ensembl:snoRNA F28D9.6 ncRNA
CUUUUGAUGUGGAACAAUUUUUCCCCGCUUACUAGGAUUACUGUAAUCUAGGCAAUACGGUGGCCUGAAAAUUUGACCAAAUUUUUAAAUUAUCGGCAGCUUGCAAAGUUAUCGAUUUCCGACGAUUUCUCAAUUUUCCAAAAUUGAGUAGUUGCCAAUUUUCGACAACUUACAUAACAUU